CCAGGAGUGGAAUCCUGAGGAGAGAAGACUCUGGUGAGAUCAGUGAGGGUCUCUCCAUCUUGAGAUCUCGAGGAGAGAAGGUGGAUAAAGUCUUUCUCCUGAGGGUUACCCAUUUUUCUUGCUGGUGACUGGAAAUCUUUCCCCUCAACACUUCCCAAUUGAAGGGACUUCUGAAGAGAAACCUGAGCAGAUUUUACCUCAGCUCCUGUUGCCCAGGGAUGCACCAAUAUCUUCUUGGAGUGAGAAACAGUUUUGUUUUUUGUUUUUUCUUUUCUUUUUAUCUCUAACACUCAGCACAAUGCCUGGCAAAAAAAGAAGAUGCUCAAUAAAUACAUGUUGACUGACUGAUGACACAAUAAAAUCAACCUCAUGCACCACCUCUAAGGAGAAACUAUUGCUGUCAGCAAGAAACCAUUUUGACAAUAAUAAAAUGAAGGCAAGGAAACUGGUUGGUGCCUGG
rnacentral:lncRNA from 1 species